rnacentral:rRNA from 1 species
GAUUCUUGCAUUCUCUUAUCGAGGAGCCCUUCGGGGCAGGAAGACAGGUGGUGCAUGGUUGUCGUCAGCUCGUGUCGUGAGAUGUUGGGUUAAGUCCCGCAACGAGCGCAACCCUUAUUGUUAGUUGCUACCAUUAAGUUGAGCACUCUAGCGAGACUGCCCGGGUUAACCGGGAGGAAGGUGGGGAUGACGUCAAAUCAUCAUGCCCCUUAUGUCUAGGGCUACACACGUGCUACAAUGGCUGGUACAGAGAGAUGCUAAACCGUGAGGUGGAGCCAAACUUUAAAACCAGUCUCAGUUCGGAUUGUAGGCUGAAACUCGCCUACAUGAAGCUGGAGUUGCUAGUAAUCGCGAAUCAGAAUGUCGCGGUGAAUACGUUCCCGGGCCUUGUACACACCAAA